CUUUCCUGCAGCCUGUUUUGUGAUUAUGGAGUGGAUAACUUUGCACAGCUGUGCCCUGGAAGGUCCUGCUCCCACAGCUGGAUCCACAGCUCACCGUGCUGGGAAGUCAGACACACACUGGAGUCACAGCACCAACAUGCACAGGCAGAGAGAACACCACUGAGUGUGGAGAGCUGAAAAGUGAUCUGCUUUGCUGUUGAGAACAUUGCUUAAAGGCACUGAAGAAGAGGCCAGACACAGGAAGUGGAAAUAGAUUUGCUAAUGAGACAACGUGCCAGCGGAAAUGUGCUCAUGCUGUUUGAUGUGCUGCAGUGGAGCUCCACACACAGCUGCCUCCAGCGAAGCUUCUGUCCACUGCACAUGGCACAGAACUCACAGAGCUGCUUCACCACCCUCCAGGAAAGCUUUUAUCAAGCUGAGACCCUGCAUUAGAAUUUACCUCCAUUCUGCUGCUUUCUGUUGAAAUUUUCCAUGCCAGCAUCUGCCUCAGAGUUGCAUCUGCACCGAGUAAAGGACUCACUUCCCUGUGGUGGGUUUCUGUGGUCUCCAUUGCUGUUGCCAUCAUAUCUUCUACACCUUUGGGAAAUUAGAGGUGAAAGCCCAACCUAUCAAGUUGCUACAAGAUCUGGACUGGCAUGGAGUGUGUUCACAGUGUUUGCUGUGAGAGGCUGCAUUGUACUCAGUUGCCAGUUGGGGUUAAACCACGACAGUGCUCAGGGCAAAAGGCUUGUUGAUACCCUUUUCAGAUGAGUGUUCAGGGCAUCUGCCAAUCUUAUUCCACACAUUCUGAGCUUACCACUUCGAAAAGAAGAAAGAAGCCAUGGGAGAUGAUGUUCUUUCUAUCUUUAUGCACUUAAUCUAGAAAUGGGGGAUGGAUGUUUAGCCACAGGAAGUCCCAACGUGUGUGCUCUGCACAGAGCCGGCCUCUUUUCUGAGCUGUAUUUGAGAAGGACGUUAGUCCUCUAACAAAAGCAAACAGGUCUACCCCUAAAGAAAGGGGUUUAAAUAACUUUGCAGGUGGCAUGCAAGGAUUGUCUGGCAAAGACUGAAUUAGAUCCUAGCUCUUCAGGUUAGCAUUCAUUCCACCUCUCCAGGGCCAGCCCUCCUUUGUUCCAUGCUCUCCAGUCUCUACAGCAAAUGCAGAAGUCACCUAAGGCAACAAUCUGCUUCACUUGAUCCAUGAGUGAUGUUCUUCUAGUGAUUAUGAAGGAAGCCAGGAUCACAGGGAAAAUGUGCAUCAUUAGACCCUAUCAUAAUUCAUACACACGGGAGGCAAAUUAACAUUUUCAAAUAUUUAAGACCACAGAUGUCUGAGGAAUACAGCAAAACAGAAUAACGCUCCAGGCAAACUUCCCCACUGUAAAUUCUUAGAAUAUAUGCAAGAUACCAAUUCAGGACCAAAUUCUAAGCUCAGAUGCUCUCAGAUGGAGCCUACAGCAUAGAUGGAUGGCUACAUAUAUCCCAAAAGAGGAUGCUGUGUGGAAUAUCUCUGUUGUAGUAGAGAUGAUGUGCUAUAUUAAAUAGAAAUUUCUAAUUUAUAAUCCUAAAUCACAAGCUCCUGUUCUGCACUGACUGCAACCAUUAUGAGCAUGCCUGCAGGAUUUAUCUUGGCUAUCAUCUAAAUUACUCUGAUCUGAAGAGGGAUGGGAGCAAGAGAUGAGACUCCAGUGCAAAAUCAAGUGAUUUGUCCUGAAGAAAUCUCACGGAAAAAAGCAAAAGGAAAAUUGUCCACAGAGCUUCUACUCCAGUUUUCCUCUGCAUUCAACAUGGAUGUCUCACUGCAAGGCACUUGAAAUACCCUUGCUGUAAGUAAAGCUUUUGAGAUCUGAGUGCUCAGAGUUGCAUCAGUCACCAAUUAUUUUUCAGUAGGCAAAGAGGUUGCAUCACAAAUAUACUUGUCCUUACGCAUCCUCACAUAUGUGAUAACUGCUGUGCAUUGUGACUUCCCAAUAGAUCAAAUCGUCCUUACUUAAGUAUUUAUCUUGGCAAGCAGAGAUAAAAAACAUUUAAAGGCUAUCACAUUUGCUGUGGGCAUGGCAACUGAAACAAAGAAAUAUGCAAAUCUUUGUGCAAAAUUAUACUUUUCAAAGAGUUUCACUGAAUGGCUGUCAAGCCACAAAUGAAAGAAGGCAGAAAACUCCAUUAUUAUCUCGCAAAGGAACGAGGUGGAACAGUGUGGAUGGUUUUGGUUCCUGGACACGAAACAUCAGGGAUGGAGGAUGAAGGGUCUGUCUUGGUAAGCUGACACCUUUUUAUUUAGCAGUUUUUCACAGCUAAAUGCUGCCUAGAGAAGUCAUAUCUGAUGUCUGUCAUCCCAGGAAAUGUUGUGCUGAGCAGAGUUAUGCAGUCCCUCCCAACCUCCUCGUAAUUCCAAGCACUUUCUGUUCUUUUGUCAUGGGGAUUUUAAUAACUCCACAGCAGGGGAGAAGAGACAUUUUUUUUUUGUGCCUAAUAUUGCAAGUUAAAGUUGCAUCUUAAAAUAAAGUUACUAGGCCAUGGUCAAAGGCUUCUUAAAUGAAACCAAAGUCAUGCAUUUUUUUUCUUUGAGAGGUUUGCAAGUUUGCAGCCUUCUGGACUAAAAAGAGGAACUCUUAAGAGAAAGCAGGACAUAGGCCUUGUAUUUCUAGUAAUUUUUGAGGAUGUCUUUCUUCAUAGUCCCACUGUGACUGUGCAAGGCCAUACUGUUUUUCUGAGCCAGACCCUCGUCCUGUUUGCUCAGGAAAGGAAUUGGUUCUCCUCUCCAGGUAUAUUGUAUCAACUGUAAAGUCAAGAAUGGCAGUGCUAAAAUGAAACUAGAGAGCCAAAAGUACACAAACACAUUGAUUUUACCAUAUUCAAUCCUUGUUAACCAGUUUCCUUACUUCUGAAAGACUAAAUACAUUGCCAACAUAAUCCACACAGAGGUGAGAACUGACUGUUCUGGUUAAACUCUGGUUGCAGAAUACUGGUUAGAGAGGGCCAAGUGACAGGGGUACAAGGAGAAUACAAGCAGAGCAGAUCUAAUUGAGGUUUCUUACUCAUUGUCUGUGUGUAAGGAUGAGUGGGGCACAACAAGAGCACUAAAUAUAUGCAUUGGUUAGGAAAGACAGAAAACAACUGCAGUGAAAAUGCUCCUUUAAUUUAAUGUAUGUCUUCAUUAUACAUUGUGGCAGAGGAUGGAGAGUAAGCAAAAGGACCCCUUGGCUAAUGUAAAACAUGACCACCUUUUUGCUCCUUAAAUUUGUACAAGUAAUUUUUAGAUGUGUAUCAAAGUCUUGUUGUAUGAAACAAAUUUAAACAUGGUCUUCCCUGUUAAUUUUUGCUCUAUUUAUACAAUAUUUGUUAGAAAACUAUAUAAUUACAUGCUUUCUGUACAACCUCUAAAAUAUAUGUUGGGAAUGUUACUUACCUGACUGAUCAAAUAUGACAACUUUGAAGGAUGGGGGAUAUGUGAGGAAGCUCCAUGGUUUUGUGUCAGGAUAACAUUUACAGCCAUUAUAUUCACAGUUUGAUAUUUUUUACCUAAUUCUGCUUCUAAGUGCACAGCUAGAAAUACAAACUAUCUCCACGGAGUGUAGUCAAAGUAGUUUCUGAUGCUGUGGAGAAUUGGAUCUUUCACGCUUUGAAUUCUUCUCCCCUGUGUAAACACAGUGAAAAAGAACAAAGGGGGUAAGGAACAGUGUUCUACCAAGGAGAUUUGUGACCACCAAGACAUCUUUGAUACGAAUAUUUAAAGUAUCUCAUCCGAAAAUCCAUACAGAACUGUCAGUUUCUAAAAUAUUCUCCUGUGAAAUAGUGCAGUGCUGUGUAAAAUACACUGAGACAGAUGCUUUCCGUGUCUACACGAAGGUCACACAACAAGCAAAACCAGUGGCAAAAUUGUAUUUCUCACAUUAGUUACAGUAAGAGAAAAGGUCUAAAACUCCUAAUAUGCAGGAGGAGUCACAGUUCCUUAGAUCAAAAAAAUCCCCACUUUUACAGGUAUUAUGCUGGUGGACUUUUUUUGCCCUAUGU